UGCCUGGCUUAGCCACUCGACGAGGCUGC
rnacentral:piRNA from 1 species